rnacentral:lncRNA from 1 species
GCGUGUUUUCGAUGCAACGAACCACUAUGACUAGCCGAAAAUAAUCAACACCGAUAGCACACAUGCACAUCUACAAUAGUGGAAGACCUUGGACUUAAUAUUUGUGGAGAGAUUUGGAUUUAGAUCUCAUCUAAUCAAUCAUCACAUGACUCAUUUAAUUGUCAUGGGCUAAAUCAAAUCCCUAAGCAACCAUAUUUGAAACUUAAUCUUCCAAAUUGACCAAGUAAGUGG